GAGUUUGAUCCUGGCUCAGGAUGAACGCUGGCGGCGUGCUUAAUACAUGCAAGUCGAACGAACCUUCGGGUUAGUGGCGGACGGGUGAGUAACGCGUGGGAAUCUGCCCUCAGGAGGGGGAUAACGGUUGGAAACGGCCGCUAAUACCCCAUAUGCCGAGAGGUGAAAUGAAUUUCGCCUGAGGAUGAGCCCGCGUCUGAUUAGCUAGUUGGUGAGGUAAUGGCUCACCAAGGCAUCGAUCAGUAGCUGGUCUGAGAGGAUGAUCAGCCACACUGGGACUGAGACACGGCCCAGACUCCUACGGGAGGCAGCAGUGGGGAAUUUUCCGCAAUGGGCGCAAGCCUGACGGAGCAACGCCGCGUGAGGGAUGAAGGCCUCUGGGCUGUAAACCUCUUUUCUCAAGGAAGAAGAUCUGACGGUACUUGAGGAAUAAGCCACGGCUAAUUCCGUGCCAGCAGCCGCGGUAAUACGGGAGUGGCAAGCGUUAUCCGGAAUUAUUGGGCGUAAAGCGUCCGCAGGCGGCUUUUCAAGUCUGCUGUUAAAACGUGGAGCUUAACUCCAUCAAGGCAGUGGAAACUGAUUGGCUUGAGUGUGGUAGGGGCAGAGGGAAUUCCCGGUGUAGCGGUGAAAUGCGUAGAUAUCGGGAAGAACACCAGUGGCGAAGGCGCUCUGCUGGGCCAUAACUGACGCUCAUGGACGAAAGCCAGGGGAGCGAAAGGGAUUAGAUACCCCUGUAGUCCUGGCCGUAAACGAUGAACACUAUGUGUCGGGGGAAUCGACCCCCUCGGUGUCGUAGCCAACGCGUUAAGUGUUCCGCCUGGGGAGUACGCACGCAAGUGUGAAACUCAAAGGAAUUGACGGGGGCCCGCACAAGCGGUGGAGUAUGUGGUUUAAUUCGAUGCAACGCGAAGAACCUUACCAGGGUUUGACAUCCUGCGAAUCUCUUGGAAACGAGAGAGUGCCUUUGGGAACGCAGUGACAGGUGGUGCAUGGCUGUCGUCAGCUCGUGUCGUGAGAUGUUGGGUUAAGUCCCGCAACGAGCGCAACCCACGUCUUUAGUUGCCAGCAUUUAGUUGGGCACUCUAGAGAGACCGCCGGUGAUAAACCGGAGGGAGGUGUGGAUGACGUCAAGUCAUCAUGCCCCUUACAUCCUGGGCUACACACGUACUACAAUGCUACGGACAAAGGGCAGCAAGUUCGCGAGGACAAGCAAAUCCCAUAAACCGUGGCUCAGUUCAGAUCGUAGGCUGCAACUCGCCUACGUGAAGAAGGAAUCGCUAGUAAUCGCAGGUCAGCAUACUGCGGUGAAUACGUUCCCGGGCCUUGUACACACCGCCCGUCACACCAUGGAAGUUGGCCACGCCCGAAGUCGUUACUCCAACCCUUGUGGAGGAGGACGCCGAAGGUGGGGCUGAUGACUGGGGUGAAGUCGUAACAAGGUAGCCGU
rnacentral:rRNA from 1 species